rnacentral:rRNA from 1 species
UAGGGAAUCUUCGGCAAUGGGGGCAACCCUGACCGAGCAACGCCGCGUGAGUGAAGAAGGUUUUCGGAUCGUAAGGCUCUGUUGUAAGAGAAGAACGUGUGUGAGGGUGGAAAGUUCACACAGUGACGGUAACUUACCAGAAAGGGACGGCUAACUACGUGCCAG